GAUGAACGCUGGCGGCGUGCCUAAUACAUGCAAGUCGAGCGAACAGACGAGGAGCUUGCUCCUCUGACGUUAGCGGCGGACGGGUGAGUAACACGUGGAUAACCUACCUAUAAGACUGGGAUAACUUCGGGAAACCGGAGCUAAUACCGGAUAAUAUAUUGCACCGCAUGGUUCAAUAGUGAAAGACGGUUUUGCCGUCAGUGAUAGAUGGAUCCGCGCCGUAUUAGCUUGUUGGUAGGGUAACGGCUUACCAAGGGAAGGAUGGGUAGCCGACCGGAGGGGGUGACCGGCCAAACUGGGACUGAGGGAGGGCCCAGACUCCUACGGGAGGCAGCAGGGGGGAAUAUUUCACAAUGGGCGGAAGCCUGAUGCAGCAACGCCGCGUGCGGGAUGACGGACUUCGGGUUGUAAACCGCUUUCGCCUGUGACGAAGCGUGAGUGACGGUAAUGUGUAAAGAAGCACCGGCUAACUACGUG
rnacentral:rRNA from 1 species